rnacentral:tRNA from 1 species
CAGAAAAUAGUUUAUGAAAAAUAUUAAUUUUGGAGAUUAAUGAAAGUGGUUACAUUUUUUCUGA